rnacentral:rRNA from 1 species
GCAUAUCAAUAAGCGGAGGAAAAGAAACCAACAGGGAUUGCCCCAGUAACGGCGAGUGAAGCGGCAACAGCUCAAAUUUGAAAUCUGGCCUCGGCCCGAGUUGUAAUUUGCAGAGGAUGCUUCUGGCGCGGCGCCUUCCGAGUUCCCUGGAACGGGACGCCACAGAGGGUGAGAGCCCCGUAUGGUCGGACGCCAAGCCAGUGUGAAGCUCCUUCGACGAGUCGAGUAGUUUGGGAAUGCUGCUCUAAGCGGGAGGUAUACGUCUUCUAAAGCUAAAUACCGGCCAGAGACCGAUAGCGCACAAGUAGAGUGAUCGAAAGAUGAAAAGCACCUUGAAAAGGGGGUUAAACAGUACGUGAAAUUGUUGAAAGGGAAGCGCCUGUGACCAGACUUGCGCCGGGCGGAUCAUCCAGCGUUCUCGCUGGUGCACUCCGCCCGGCUCAGGCCAGCAUCGGUUCUGGCAGGGGGAUAAAGGCGGCGGGAAUGUGGCUCCCCCGGGAGUGUUAUAGCCCGCCGUGUAAUGCCCCUGCCGGGACCGAGGUUCGCGCAUCUGCAAGGAUGCUGGCGUAAUGGUCACCAGCGACCCGUCUUGAAACACGGACCAAGGAGUCGUCCAUUACGGCGAGCGUUUGGGUGUAAAACCCCUGCGCGGAAUGAAAGUAAACGUAGGUGAGAGCUUCGGCGCAUCAUCGACCGAUCCUGAUGUUCUCGGAUGGAUUUGAGUAAGAGUCGUAACGGACGGACCCGAAAGAUGGUGAACUAUGCCUGUAUAGGGUGAAGCCAGAGGAAACUCUGGUGGAGGCUCGCAGCGGUUCUGACGUGCAAAUCGAUCGUCAAAUAUGGGCAUGGGGGCGAAAGACUAAUCGAACCAUCUAGUAGCUGGUUACCGCCGA